rnacentral:rRNA from 1 species
AACGAACGCUGGCGGCAUGCCUAACACAUGCAAGUCGAACGAGACCUUCGGGUCUAGUGGCGCAAGGGUGCGUAACGCGUGGGAACCUGCCCUUAGGUUCGGAAUAACUCACCGAAAGGGGUGCUAAUACCGGAUAAUGUCUUCGGACCAAAGAUUUAUCGCCUUUGGAUGGGCCCGCGUUGGAUUAGCUAGUUGGUAGGGUAAAAGCCUACCAAGGCGACGAUCCAUAGCUGGUCUGAGAGGAUGAUCAGCCACACUGGGACUGAGACACGGCCCAGACUCCUACGGGAGGCAGCAGGGGGGAAUAUUGGACAAUGGGCGAAAGCCUGAUCCAGCAAUGCCGCGUGAGUGAUGAAGGCCUUAGGGUUGUAAAGCUCUUUUACCCGGGAUGAUAAUGACAGUACCGGGAGAAUAAGCUCCGGCUAACUCCGUG